GAACUGCGAUAAGUAUUGUGAAUUGCAGAAUUCAGUGAAUCAUCGAGUCUUUGAACGCACAUUGCGCCCCCUGGCAUUCCGGGGGGCAUGCCUGUCCGAGCGUCAUUGCUGCCCUUCAAGCCCGGCUUGUGUGUUGGGUCGUCGUCCCCUCCGGGGGACGGGCCCGAAAGGCAGCGGCGGCACCGCGUCCGGUCCUCGAGCGUAUGGGGCUUUGUCACCCGCUCGAUAAGGACCGGCCGGGCGCCAGCCGGCGUCUCCAACCUUUUUUUCUCAGGUUGACCUCGGAUCAGGUAGGGAUACCCGCUGAACUUAAGC
rnacentral:misc_RNA from 1 species